rnacentral:rRNA from 1 species
UACGUAGGGUGCGAGCGUUAAUCGGAAUUACUGGGCGUAAAGCGUGCGCAGGCGGUUCGUUAAGUCAGACGUGAAAUCCCUAGGCUCAACCUAGGAACUGCGUCUGAUACUGGAUGGCUUGAAUCCGGGAGAGGGAUGCAGAAUUCCAGGUGUAGCGGUGAAAUGCGUAGAUAUCUGGAGGAAUACCGGUGGCGAAGGCGGCAUCCUGGACCGGCAUUGACGCUGAGGAGCGAAAGCCAGGGGAGCAAACGGG